rnacentral:rRNA from 1 species
CGAGCCGAGCGGCGGACGGGGGAGUAACACGUGAGCAACCUGCCCCUGGCGCGGGAUAACCCGGGGAAACUCGGGCAAUACCGCAUGGUUCGGCCCUGCCGCAGGUUGGUGGCUGGGAAAGGCGGCCUCUCAUGGAAGCUGCCGUGCAGGGAGGGGCUCGCGGCCUAUCAGCUGGUGGUGGGGUAACGGCCUACCAAGGCGACGACGGGUAGCGGGUCUGAGAGGACGACCCGCCACAUUGGGACUGAGACACGGCCCAGACUCCUUACGGGAGGCAGCAGUGGGGAAUCUUGCGCAAUGGCCGAGAGGCUGACGCAGCGACGCCGCGUGCGGGAGGAAGCCCUUCGGGGUGUAAACCGCUGUCACCGGGGACGAAUGUCGUGUGACCGAACAGGGAGCACGGUUGACGGUACCCGGAGAGGAAGUCGCCGGCUAACUCCGUGCCAGCAG